AUACCUUUCUCGGCCUUUUGGCUAAGAUCAAGUGUAGUAUCUGUUCUUAUCAGUUUAAUAUCUGAUACGUGGGCCAUCGGCCCACAUGAUAUUAAAUUAAUUUUUCAAGGGGGAGAGCCCACUAUGGUAGCUUGCUACCCGGGCUCUCAAGCGUCGCCCAAGUGUUGCAGUAUUGCUCGGGCCUGGCGCACUCCUC